UAGUGUGUGUGUAGUAUGUAGUGUGUGUGAGUAGGCGUAUUGUGAAUUUUCGUGUAGGAUGGUGUAAUUUGUUUACUUCAAGUGUUUUAAAUUGUGAUCGAACAAUUUCGAAACCUAAAGGUCUAACUGAAAAAGAAAUGAUUGAUGCAUUAUUCGAAACACCAGAAGAUUCUUGUAUCGGAAGUAAUUAGCUGUGAAUUCAUAUCUACUAAAAGAGGAAGACCAAAUAAAGAAAAUAAACAAACUAAUAUAACUGACAGAAAAACCAGAGGUGUUUACAAACGACAUUUCUAGGUGUUAGAUUUGAUGGUAUCAACAUUUUCCUGAUUGGUUUGGGACUAGACAAAAGUGUAAAUACUUAAGACUGCAAAGGUAUAACAUAUGCUAUUUGUAAUAAAUGUAAUAAAUCCUUAUGCUUCACUAAAAGUUCUAACUGUUUUAAAAAAGUACCUUACUAAACAAAUGUAACAAGUAUACUUGGUUAAUAUAAAUUACUGUAAAAAUUGGUAGGUAAAUAAAGUCCAUUGUAAAAAUAAUAACCAUUUAUUUCAAAUCCACAAGACACAUUAGACAAACGUAACCAUUAUACCAUAAUAUAACAUAUACCAUAUAUUGUAUUGUUGACACAGCAUCACUAUCAAAUAAACUCCGCUCAUCAUCGGUUUUUCGUUAGCAAUGAUAUAUUGUUGCUUACAGAUAUACAUUGAAUUCUCUUCUGUAUCCUACCUUCUCAACUUCCGACCUACAGCAGUGGCUGCACCCACAUGCAUAUUAUGGAUAUCCAGUUCAUGAAAUGAAUGAUUUCACUAUGUGGAUGUGACAUAUACAUAUAGUACCAUAUAUUAAGCCUAGAUUAACAGAUUUCAAGUAGUUAUUUUUAAUUUUGAUCAAAUAUAUCACUGAUUCAUUGGAAUUAAUAUUAUCAUGAUAUUAUUAUUACUAGGUACUUAGUUAUAUAUAUAUAUAUAUUAUUAUUUUUUAAUAAAAGGAAAAGAAUAUUUAUGUUUCACACAAAUCUAUUUCUUCUAAUAUCAUAAUAAGAAGAGUUAAAAUUCAAUAACCAAGCGAGGUAUGACUUAUGUUUUUCAACCAGUAUUAAUUUGUCAUUUAGACCUUUAUGUCAUCACGUUUAAAUAAUAACUAACACUUUCUAGAUUCAAAUGUUUUGCCAUAUCAGGCAUAUAUAUAAAAACUAAUUUUUCCUACAUUCAAAUUUCUGAAGAUACCGCUACUGUGGCCUGACAGUAUGUAGGCAAAUAUCUAUAUUUUAGAUCCUUUACAGAUUGGCACAACAUAAUUUGCAAUAUUUGUAGUAUAGCAAAUUUAUGUUAUUUUCUAAUAACUUAAAUUGUGGUUUUUAGAAUGAUAGCAAACUUGUUUAAAUCAUUUUUUUCAGUUUCCAAUUUGAAAUUUGUAAACCUAUUAAGAUAAAAGAUUAAAUUAAAAUUCAAGUACAUAGAAACUUUGGACAUGAUUUCUAUAAAUGAUAUUUAAAUCUAAUAUGAACUUAGUUAUUUUUUAUUUACACAUUGUGACCUUUAAUUGGAAUAAUUAAUUCCUAUGUCUAUUAUUUGUUGAGUUGCUAUUGUAGUACCUAUUUUAAAUCGUACAUACAAAUGAAAGAAUACAACGACAUUGUAAAGUAUUUGUUAUAAAUUUAAAUGUAUUAAAUGUUUUUAUUUUUUUUUUGAGCUGAUUAAGAACAAAAAAUGGCAACAAUUACGUCAACUACUUUCACACCGGGUACCCUAUUAUGGGUAAAUGUGAAUAACAUCUGGUGGCCAGGGAAAGUCGUACACCCAAAAAGUGCACCAAAAAAAACACAGCAUAUCAUGAACCAAAAGCGGCAUCUCGCUGCUAUAGUCUGGUUUGAGACAGACAACAAAUAGUAAGUUUAAAUUAGGAUGCAAUUUUUGUAUUUAGAAUAUUUGUAUCGGUUCCAAUUAAAAUAUACAGGUUGUUCCAUGGAGAUAUACUUAUUUUGUUAUAUCUCUGAGAUAAUAAAGAUGAAAGAAUUUUUUUUUAUUUUGUUAUUCACUGGGAUAAAGACUACAAAAAUUAUAUUCCAAUUAAUUGUAUAUAUUGUGGUAAAAAAUUUAAAAAAUGACUUUUAAAUUCAGAGAAAAGUACCUAUAAUAAAUACCCAGCAGGCUGUAAUCACAUUUUUUAUUAUUAUCAUGAUUAUUGACUGUACAUUUAUUUUUUUUAAACUUAAAAAUAUAAUUAAAAAUAACAAAUCCAAUGAAAAUAAAAAGUGGAUUCAUCAACAUUUUCGGAAAUAAUAAAAUAAAACAUUUUUUUUAAAAUUUCUUUCAAAACACGAACAAUUAAUUUGUGAUCCUUAUUCCGGUGAGUAAUAUUAAUGAAACUGAAUUUGACUAUCUUUAUUAUCUCCGAAGAUAUUACAAUGUGUAUAUAUUAGUAUAACACAUUGUAUAUUACAGGUCAUAUUCACAUAUGGAUAAUGUAAUAUCAAUAAAGUGUUUUUGUAUUAACUUGAUAAUAGAGCAUUAGCCAAAGUCUUCUGGAUAACAUCAAAAAUCUAUAAAACUAAAUUUUCAAUGUUUAAUUGCAAAGAGUUACUAUUAAACCAUUUUUUAACUCAUGAUAAACCAUCAUUAGCUUUGCCAUGAGGCCUAUCUUAGGAGUUAUCAUUAAAUAUAAAUACUAUAUCAUCAUAUUUGCAGCAGA
rnacentral:lncRNA from 1 species